CACGGGAGCUUGCGUCCUGGUGGCGAGUGGCGAACGGGUGAGUAAUAUAUCGGAACGUACCCCGUCGUGGGGGAGUAACUCUCCGAAAGGAGUGCUAAUACCGCAUACGACCUGAGGGUGAAAGCGGGGGACCUGCAAGGGCCUCGCGCGAUGGGAGCGGCCGAUAUCGGAUUAGCUAGUUGGCGAGGUAAAGGCUCACCAAGGCGAUGAUCCGUAGCGGGUCUGAGAGGACGACCCGCCACACUGGAACUGAGACACGGCCCAGACUCCUACGGGAGGCAGCAGUGGGGAAUUUUGGACAAUGGGCGCAAGCCUGAUCCAGCCAUGCCGCGUGAGUGAAGAAGGCCUUCGGGUUGUAAAGCUCUUUCAGACGGAAAGAAAUCGCGCGCUCUAACAUAGCGCGUGGAUGACGGUACCGUAAGAAGAAGCACCGGCUAACUACGUG
rnacentral:rRNA from 1 species